rnacentral:rRNA from 1 species
AUAUUAUUAAGCGGAGGAAAAGAAACUAAAAAGGAUGUCCUUAGUAGUGGCGAAUGAAUAGGACAAAGCUCAAAAUUAAAAUCUAGCCCAAGAGGCUCGAAUUGUAGUUUUUCGAUUAUGUAUUACUGGGAUAUUUAUUGGGAUGUAAAUUUUUUGGAAUAUGAUAUCAGAGAGGGUGAGAAUCCCGUAUUUAAUCUUUAAUAUUUUAUUUCAACCGUAUUAUAUAAUCGACGAGUCGGGUUGUUUGGGAUUGCAGCCCAAAGUAGGUGGUAGAUUUCAUCUAAAGCUAAAUAUCUCGGGGAGACCGAUAGCGAAGAAGUACUGUGAAGGAAAGGUGAAAAGAACUUUGAAAAGAAGGUUAAAAGUACUUGAAAUUGUUAAAAGGGAAACGAAUAGAACUAGUGUUCAUAUGUGUAUGAUUCAACUGUAUAGAUAUGAUUUUUUAUUAUUUUAUAGUUUUAAAAGACAUAAAAAUGAUAUUAAGUAUUAUAUUUAUCGGAUCAUUUCAUACAUUUUAUGAGUCAAUAUCAAUUUUUGGGUUUGGAGAAAGUCUAGAAUAAAGGUAAGCGUUCAUUUAUAUAUUUUUUAUAUAUUUGAGUGCUGUUAUAAUAUUUUAGUCUCAUACAAUCUCAAAUAUUGAGGAUAAAAAAAACAUAGGCUUUUUAAG